GCCCUUAGAGUUUGAUCCUGGCUCAGAAUCAACGCUGGCGGCGUGCCUAACACAUGCAAGUCGAACGAGAAAGGGUAGCAAUACCUGAGUAAAGUGGCGCACGGGUGAGUAACACGUGACUAACCUACCCUGAAGUGGGGGAUAACUGAGGGAAACCUUAGCUAAUACCGCAUAACACCUACGGGUCAAAGGAGCAAUUCGCUUCAGGAGGGGGUCGCGGCCGAUUAGUUAGUUGGCGGGGUAAUGGCCCACCAAGACGAUGAUCGGUAUCCGGCCUGAGAGGGCGCACGGACACACUGGAACUGAAACACGGUCCAGACUCCUACGGGAGGCAGCAGUGGGGAAUUUUGCGCAAUGGGGGAAACCCUGACGCAGCAACGCCGCGUGGAGGAUGAAGUACUUCGGUACGUAAACUCCUUUCGAUCGGGACGAUAAUGACGGUACCGGAAGAAGAAGCCCCGGCUAACUUCGUGCCAGCAGCCGCGGUAAUACGAGGGGGGCGAGCGUUGUUCGGAAUUAUUGGGCGUAAAGGGUGCGUAGGCGGUUUGGUAAGUCUUGUGUGAAAUCUAUGGGCUCAACUCAUAGACUGCACGAGAAACUGCCGGGCUUGAGUGUGGGAGAGGUGAGUGGAAUUUCCGGUGUAGCGGUGAAAUGCGUAGAUAUCGGAAGGAACACCUGUGGCGAAAGCGGCUCACUGGACCACAACUGACGCUGAUGCACGAAAGCUAGGGGAGCAAACAGGAUUAGAUACCCUGGUAGUCCUAGCCCUAAACGAUGACUGCUUGGUGUGACGGGUACCCAAUCCCGCCGUGCCGUAGCUAACGCGUUAAGCAGUCCGCCUGGGGAGUACGGUCGCAAGGCUGAAACUCAAAUGAAUUGACGGGGAAGGGC
rnacentral:rRNA from 1 species